AGAGUUUGAUCCUGGCUCAGGACGAACGCUGGCGGCGUGCUUAACACAUGCAAGUCGAACGGAAAGGCCCUGCUUUUGUGGGGUGCUCGAGUGGCGAACGGGUGAGUAACACGUGAGUAACCUGCCCUUGACUUUGGGAUAACUUCAGGAAACUGGGGCUAAUACCGGAUAGGAGCUCCUGCUGCAUGGUGGGGGUUGGAAAGUUUCGGCGGUUGGGGAUGGACUCGCGGCUUAUCAGCUUGUUGGUGGGGUAGUGGCUUACCAAGGCUUUGACGGGUAGCCGGCCUGAGAGGGUGACCGGCCACAUUGGGACUGAGAUACGGCCCAGACUCCUACGGGAGGCAGCAGUGGGGAAUAUUGCACAAUGGGCGGAAGCCUGAUGCAGCAACGCCGCGUGCGGGAUGACGGCCUUCGGGCUGUAAACCGCUUUCGCCUGUGACGAAGCGUGAGUGACGGUAAUGGGUAAAGAAGCACCGGCUAACUACGUG
rnacentral:rRNA from 1 species